UUGGUCCUGUAACAAUAGAAAAAUGACUCAGUUGCUCUGUUUGUGAAACUGGGGCAGUGAUGCCAGCUGCUUGCCUUGCACAAAGGGAUGAAGGAGGGCCAGCCUUAUGAGACAAUAGAGGCCUCUGGAGUCGGGGCAUUACAUAGGUGGGGAGGAGGAAGGUGCCAAGAAAGAGCUGGAAGACUGUGGAGGGGGCAACCUGACACAGAACUGAAGGAAGCCUAGCAAGCCCUCUCUCCACAUCUCCCUUCUACUCCAGAUUUUCAGCUGCAGGAUUAUAAAGAACUCAGGAUUUCCCAGAGUCAAGAAGAGGCCCAGUGGGGACAAUUUUGGAGGUCAGCCCAGGCUGAAGUGGAUGGCCAAUUGACACCAAGCGGAACGAUGGACAACCAUGUUAAUAGAUCUCCUGAUUUUCCAAGAGAAGUUAGAAAUUUCUAUUUUUAUAUGAAAUCUCCUGUUUUUAAACGUUGGCAACUGAUUCAAAAUAAUUUUAAACACUUUGAAAGAUAAAUAAAAUGUGUCUGCAGGCAGCCCAGUUUGUGACCUCUUCUUCUAGAAGUCCCCUAGAGAAGACUUAGCAAUAAUUACUCUUCGGAGCCUCCCCAACUUUACCCCAUUCUCACCUCCACCCCUCCCUCAUUAACUCCCUCCCUAAUUAACUGUUCUUUGACCUCAGUUACUAAAGCAAUUUAUAUGUAUGUCUGUUAGAGUGCUCAAUACAUUCUGUGAAAGUUUUGUUGUCGUU